rnacentral:rRNA from 1 species
UACGUAGGCAGCAAGCGUUGUUCGGAGUUACUGGGCGUAAAGGGUGCGUAGGCGGCCCUAUAAGUAUGGUGUGAAAUCUCCCGGCUUAACUGGGAGGGUGCGCUAUAGACUGUGGGGCUAGAGUGUGGGAGAGGAAAGUGGAAUUCCUGGUGUAGCGGUGAAAUGCGUAGAGAUCCGGAAGAACACCGGUGGCGAAGGCGGUCUGCUGGGCAGUUGCUGACACUGAGGCGCGACAGCGUGGGGAGCAAACAGG